CACCCCCCCACCCCCCACCCCUCUCCAUUGCCCUAGGGGAGAAGGCGGAGUUGGUAUUGUGUGAGGUGCGGCUGCAGAUCCUGGACAGACCCUUCACCAAGGCCUUGGAGAACAAGAUCAGCCCUGAGUCCCAGGAACUUCGGGGGACACUGACAAGAUGGCUGACCGCGGCCCUCAGCCCUCUGCAGACCUUCGGCCAAGUGGUGGUGGAGGGGUUCCAGCUGGACCCGCUCACAGCCAAGGUGGGCGCCACCUUCCUCGGGGCCGC